UCAAACUUGGUCAUUUAGAGGAAGUAAAAGUCGUAACAAGGUUUCCGUAGGUGAACCUGCGGAAGGAUCAUUAACACGUAUCCACGUAUCAACCCCUCUGUGAUAUCUAUCUCUUGUAAAUGGUUGGUUUAGUUCAGCGAUUCGCAUAGAUCUCAACGAUGGAAGCCCUCUCGGGGGCUUGAGGUCUGAGUUGCUGGGCGUUUGAAGACUGGCCGACAUUUUCCCAUCGUUAGCCCUCUAACCCAUUUUUAACCCCUUUGUACUUCUCUGUACUGAACCAAUUCCUUCGAGUUCUCUUCCUUUACUGGGAGACGAGCACGAAAGAUAUUACGAAACUAAAGAACAACUCUUAGCAACGGAUAUCUUGGUUCCCGCAUCGAUGAAGAACGCAGC
rnacentral:misc_RNA from 1 species